GAGCGCGCGGGCGGGCGGGCGGUUGGGCGGCCGGGGGCGGGGGCGCGCAGAGGCGAGGAGGGCAGGCGGCAGGAGGGCAGGCGGCAGCGGGCUGGCGACAGGGCAGGCGAGCUAGCUGUCCGCUUUGCGCCGCGGGCCCACGCCGCAGUGUGUUUUGUGGACGGCGCCUUCCCAGACAGCCCAGCGGAGCCCAGCCUGGCACCCCGCAGCCUCGGACGCGAUGUUCCGCCGGACCCUCAACCGUUUGUGUGCUGGAGAAGAGAAACGAGUUGGUACACGCACAGUGUUUGUUGGCAAUCAUCCCAUUUCUGGAACAGAACCUUAUAUUGCGCAAAGAUUUUGUGAUAAUAGAAUAGUCUCAUCUAAGUAUACACUUUGGAAUUUCCUCCCUAAGAAUUUGUUUGAACAGUUUAGAAGAAUUGCGAAUUUUUAUUUCCUCAUCAUUUUCCUUGUACAGGUCACAGUAGACACACCAACCAGCCCAGUUACCAGUGGACUUCCACUUUUUUUCGUUAUAACUGUUACAGCAAUCAAGCAGGGGUAUGAAGAUUGGCUUAGACACAGAGCUGAUAAUGAAGUUAACAAAAGUGCUGUUUAUAUUAUUGAAAAUGCAAAGCGAGUGAGGAAAGAAAGUGAAAAAAUCAAGGUUGGUGAUGUAGUAGAAGUACAGGCAAAUGAAACCUUUCCCUGUGAUCUUAUACUUCUGUCAUCCUGCACAACUGAUGGAACCUGUUAUGUCACUACAGCCAGUCUUGAUGGUGAAUCUAAUUGCAAGACACAUUAUGCAGUACGAGAUACCAUUGCACUGUGUACAGCCGAAUCCAUUGAUAAUCUCCGAGCAACAAUUGAAUGUGAGCAGCCUCAACCUGAUCUCUACAGGUUUGUUGGGCGAAUCAGUAUCUAUAGUAAUAGUAUUGAGGCUGUUGCCAGGUCUUUGGGACCUGAAAAUCUUUUGCUGAAAGGAGCCACACUUAAAAAUACCAAGAAGAUAUAUGGAGUUGCUGUUUACACUGGGAUGGAAACCAAAAUGGCUUUGAACUACCAAGGGAAAUCUCAGAAAUGUUCUGCUGUUGAAAAAUCUAUUAAUGCCUUCUUGAUUGUUUAUUUAUUUAUCUUACUGACCAAAGCUGCAGUAUGCACAACUCUUAAGUAUGUUUGGCAAAGUUCCCCAUACAAUGAUGAACCAUGGUAUAACCAAAAGACUCAAAAGGAACGGGAAACUUUUCAGGUUUUGAAAAUGUUCACUGACUUUUUAUCAUUCAUGGUUCUUUUCAACUUCAUUAUACCUGUCUCCAUGUAUGUCACAGUAGAAAUGCAGAAAUUUUUAGGGUCAUUCUUUAUUUCAUGGGAUAAAGACUUUUUUGAUGAAGAAAUUAAUGAAGGAGCCUUGGUUAAUACAUCAGACCUUAAUGAAGAACUUGGUCAGGUGGACUAUGUAUUUACAGAUAAGACUGGGACACUCACUGAAAAUAGCAUGGAAUUCAUUGAAUGCUGCAUAGAUGGGCACAAAUAUAAAGGCACAACUCAGGAAGUUGAUGGAUUAUCUCAGACUGAUGGGCCCUUAGCCUAUUUUGAUAAAGCAGAUAAGAACCGAGAGGCACUCUUUCUCCGUGCCCUAUGCUUAUGUCACACUGUAGAAAUGAAAACAAAUGAUGAUGUUGAUGGACCUGUAGAAGGAGCCGGAUUCACAUAUAUCUCCUCCUCACCAGAUGAAAUAGCUUUGGUGAAAGGAGCUAAAAGGUUUGGGUUCACAUUUUUGGGAAAUCAGAAUGGAUAUAUCAGAGUAGAGAACCAAAGAAAAGAAAUAGAAGAGUAUGAACUUCUCCACACCUUAAAUUUUGAUUCUGUCCGCCGACGUAUGAGUGUAAUUGUAAGGACCCAAAAAGGAGAUAUUCUACUUUUCUGUAAAGGAGCAGAUUCAUCAAUUUUUCCCAGGGUACAUAGCCAUCAAAUUGAGUUAACCAAAGACCAUGUGGAACGUAAUGCAAUGGAUGGGUAUCGGACUCUUUGUGUAGCCUUCAAAGAAAUUCCUCCAGAUGAUUUUGAAAGAAUCAAUGCACAACUAGUAGAGGCAAAAAUGGCCCUACAAGAUAGAGAAGAAAAACUGGAAAAGGUUUUUGAUGAGAUUGAGACUAACAUGAAUUUAAUUGGAGCCACUGCUGUGGAAGACAAGCUGCAAGAUCAGGCUGCAGAGACCAUUGAAGCUCUCCAUGCAGCUGGCUUAAAAGUCUGGGUGCUUACUGGGGACAAGAUGGAAACAGCCAAAUCUACUUGCUAUGCCUGCCGCCUUUUCCAAACCAAUACUGAGCUCUUGGAACUGACCACAAAAACCAUUGAAGAGAGUGAAAGGAAAGAAGAUCGAUUACAUGAACUGCUAAUAGAAUAUCGUAAGAAGUUGCUGCAUGAAUUUCCUAAAAGCACUAGAAGCCUUAAAAAAGCAUGGACAGAACAUCAGGAAUAUGGAUUAAUCAUUGAUGGCUCCACAUUGUCACUCAUACUAAAUUCUAGUCAAGAUUGUAGUUCAAACAACUAUAAAAGUAUUUUUCUACAAAUCUGUAUGAAAUGCACUGCAGUGCUCUGCUGCCGGAUGGCACCAUUACAAAAAGCCCAGAUUGUCAGAAUGGUGAAGAACUUGAAAGGCAGCCCCAUAACACUGUCAAUAGGUGAUGGUGCCAAUGAUGUCAGUAUGAUUUUGGAAUCCCAUGUGGGAAUAGGUAUUAAAGGAAAAGAAGGCCGUCAAGCAGCCAGGAAUAGUGAUUAUUCUGUUCCAAAGUUUAAGCAUUUAAAGAAACUGCUAUUGGUUCAUGGACAUCUAUACUAUGUGAGAAUAGCACAUCUUGUACAAUAUUUCUUCUACAAGAACCUUUGUUUCAUUUUGCCACAAUUUUUGUACCAGUUCUUCUGUGGAUUCUCACAACAGCCACUCUAUGAUGCUGCUUAUCUUACAAUGUACAAUAUCUGUUUCACAUCCCUGCCCAUCCUGGCUUAUAGUCUACUGGAACAGCACAUCAACAUUGAUACUCUGACCGCAGACCCUCGAUUGUAUAUGAAAAUUACCGGUAAUGCUAUGUUACAGUUGGGGCCCUUCUUACAUUGGACAUUUCUGGCUGCAUUUGAAGGGACAGUAUUCUUCUUUGGGACUUAUUUCCUUUUUCAGACUUCAUCCUUAGAAGACAAUGGAAAGAUUUAUGGAAAUUGGACAUUUGGAACCAUUGUUUUUACAGUCUUAGUAUUCACCGUAACUCUGAAGCUCGCCUUGGAUACCCGGUUCUGGACAUGGAUAAAUCAUUUUGUGAUUUGGGGUUCUCUAGCCUUUUAUGUUUUUUUCUCAUUCUUCUGGGGAGGAAUUAUUUGGCCUUUUCUGAAACAACAGAGAAUGUAUUUUGUGUUUGCUCAAAUGCUCUGUUCUGUAUCCACAUGGUUGGCUAUAAUCCUUUUAAUAUUUAUCAGCCUUUUCCCUGAGAUUCUCCUAAUAGUUGUAAAGAAUGUUCGAAGAAGAAGUGCCAGGGUAACGAACCGCCUCCCUUCCUCAGGAACAUCUGCUAUCUUCAUGCUUUCUCAAACCUCCAGCAAUCACAGUUUCUCUUGGAGUGAAUAAGGUGACUUCCUUUCUUAAUGUCCCAGCUUGCUUGCCUUCCCACUGCCUGACACCACUUCUGACUCUUCAUAAAAAGUUAUUUCUCAUGAUUCAUUUUUAUAUUCUAUUAGUACUUAAAGUAUUUUAUCAUUUUCUUUUAAUCAUGUAUUCACCUUCUAAAUUGUCUUACUGGAGAGGGAGUAAUUUUCAAAAACUUAAACUAUAACUUUGUAAUUUGAGGUACGCAAUAUAGUAGCCAUGAUGUUAGAACUAGCCUGUUCACCAGGGCAAGAGUAUUUUGCAUAAAUGUCUCCGUUUUGACACACCCAGAGCACCAGCACAGCUGUCAGAGGUGUUCACCAAAAGGAUGGUAAGGUUCACUAAUCAAGCCAUAUUGACUCAUCUUACCAUAUAACCGACAAUGCCAUUCCAGAAACCCAAGUUUGCCACAUACUGCUAAUGUCUUUACUUCUACUACCAAAAAGAAAAAAGUUUGAGUUGGAGACUUUCUUGGUCCUUUAAAUGUAUUCAUUUGAAUGUUAUGCAUUUGCUGUAUAGUAAAAGUAAUUUGUACUUUGGGGCCAGGAAAGUAGUCUGUAGGAAAUGAUUUCAUUUUUUUCUCCUACAUUUUUAUCACCAGGUAGGUUAACCUAUCUUCAAAUGCUUUAAGUAUUUUUGCCUCACUAUUACAGAGAAAUCUGAGCUGUAGAAGGGCAUCUGACUCAUUAUCCGCCAGACCUUCAGUCAGACCUCUUCUUUUACGAACAUUCUCAGACGAAUCUAAUAUAUUGUAACAGAAUCCGAAUCUUGAACUGCCUAUGUUAUUGUCCUACAAGCAUAUUGACCGUGGUUGCAGCUAAAGAGAGAAAGCAUGAAGGAACAACUACAAAAGAUAUUAACUCAGGAUACUCAAUAUGAAACAAAGACCACUCUCAUGUGUAGGGUUCACAAUAAAUGUUCAUUAAAGUACCAAAUAACUCUCUUAACCAUUUACAGUUAUUGUAAGUAGCCAUUAUGGCCCAAGUGAGAAUUAGAUGAAAGUUUAAAGUAAGCAUACUUAGCAUUCUGGAUUUAGAUAGACUAAUGUAACUACAAAAUGGGUGCUCUUUUAACCCGCUGACUUUGUGAAUGGAUUUCAAUAAUAGUAUAAAGUAGAAGGCAUGCAAUGGGGAUGAGCAGGUUUGGCUAACCAGUGUUUCCUUCCGCCUGGCAGAAGUCGUAGACUGCUUGUCUCACCUCUCUCAUUCCUGCUCAAUGAUUAUCUUUUUUCCCACACACAAAAGGAAUACUUGAAAAUACAAGACUAAAUGAUAUUACUGCAUCAGACAAAAUACAUCAUCAUCUUUUCAGUCAUAGGCUAAUUGUCUUGGUCUAAUAUCCUUUCCAAAAAGUACCUUGCAUACUUGUGUGAUACUGUUAAUUCUGGGUAUUAUUGUAGAAACAAGGGUGGAAAGGUUAUUUGGUGUGUUUUCUUCUGAAUUACACACCACUUAUGUAUUUAAGACUACUAAACUUGAAAAUACAAUAUUUCAGUCUCUUGGUAGUAGCCCCUCAAAACAGUUAAGUAGAAAGAUUUCCAUCCAAUGUUAGUUUUGCUGGGUAACGUGGUAAGGUGUGUUAAAUAUUUACAUAAAAAUGAAUGCCAUUCUUAACACUGGCAUUUUAUAAUUCUAUGUGGCAAAGAUGGGAAGAAUAGCCUAUUUUCAACUACUAACGGUUUUUAUUUGAAAGAGAGUGUUUUUGUGCAUAUUUACAGCACUUUUUUUUUAAAAAAAGUUACCAAUUUGGAAAGAGGAGAUCUAUUCCAAAGCCCUGUAGAGCCACAACUCUUUGGACAUGAAUGUUGGUUCCUAUAGCUAAGUGGGCCAAGGAAAUGGUCUAUUUCUAAAUUAUGUGAUGGACCUUGGUAAGAUCCUCAAACUGCUGGACCAGAAAGAGGUUUUAGCCCCUAAUACGUUCUCUUAAAACAUGAAAGAAGUAUGAAAUGUCUUUACUUGAAAGAAGGACCACGUUUGACAGAUAGGCUAAAAUGAUAUUUAGAAAAUAUUUUUCUAUCAGUUUCCAUUUUUUUGUCUGACAUGCCUGUACUAUUUAAUGUUUAUAUUGUACUUUGAUUUAAGAACAUACUAGACUCAUUGUCUUCCAGUAUAUUUAUAUGUCCAUAUGGCACAUUUUGAUUCUUCCAUGUAUUUGUGUGGAUGUUUAUUUGGGUGUAUUUUUUCUUAAAUUCUAAAAAGGCCAUAAUUUCAGUUAUCAGAAAUUAUUCCAUAAUUACUUAAUUUAAUUUGUUCUCAUCUAUCAGUAUUACUUUUGAGUAUUUUGUUAGGUGUCAAUCACAGCUUAAGUGUGUGCUCUUGUAGCCUGUAUUUGAGGAAAUCUGCUGAAAGCAAAGUCUUUCUAUUCUUUGCCUAUUCCAAAGAGCUAAAACAUCUAACCCAGGAAAGCUUUGCUGCUUUGUUAUUGUUGUCAUUGUUGUUGCUGCUGUAUUAUUAUUUUACAUCAGAACUGUAAGGACUGUGAAUAAAUAUAAGAGCCAAGUAGAGAGGCUUAGUUAAUGCAGAAUGAUUGAGGAGAUGAUAAAAUCAAAAUAUUUAAGGUAGUAGAAAUAAAACUGAUUAUGUAUGACUUGUUGCAGCAGAAAGAAAUCUAGAUGAACAAAUGAGAAUUUAGAGUCAUGCCUCAGUUAACCAUUACAUUGUACACUGCACUUCAAAUCAGAGGAACCUGGGUUUGCUUUUUGAAAAAUUUUUAUUAGUGAUCUAAAACAUGGCUAGCAUGGGCUUAGCAGAUGAAGUUAUUUGAAAUGAGCCAUCCGAUAUUCCUAGCACUAUAUUUUAACUAUUCUUAUUUCAGAAGAGGGCAAGAAAUCUAACAGUAGGUCCAUAUUGCCAUAAUUUUAAUAAUAAUUUUUGAGCUAUCAAAAUGUCUAUGUAAUUUUCCAAAUUGUUGUCUAUUGUUUGAAGGUGUUGCCUAUUAAACAAAAAAUAUCCAUUCCAUAUCUACUACAUAUACACCAGCAACAGUAUAAAUGUAAGCCUAAAUUUGCAAAAGUCAUAAUUUAGUGAUGGAAUUUUUUAAUAACAUGCAGUAUAUAAAUGUGCAGAUUUUAUGCAAGUGUUGAUAAAAAUCAUUUUUCAGCUUGUAAAAUGGGACUGCAAUAUUACAUUUUUCACUUAAGCAGUUUUUUACAUCUACUUUGUUGCUUUCUAAAAUGACAUGAAUGCCAUCUUUUAUGAAUGCAACUUGCCUUUUUCGUUACAGAAACUUUCAUUUGAUGUAAUCAAUAAACUUUGGUAUGAUACAAUGGG